rnacentral:rRNA from 1 species
UACGGAGGGUGCAAGCGUUAAUCGGAAUUACUGGGCGUAAAGCGUGCGCAGGCGGUUUGUUAAGUCUGCUGUGAAUCCCCGAGCUCAACUUGGGAAUUGCAGUGGAUACUGGCAGGCUGGAGUAUGGUAGAGGAAGGUGGAAUUCCCGGUGUAGCAGUGAAAUGCGUAGAGAUCGGGAGGAACACCAGUGGCGAAGGCGGCCUUCUGGACCAAUACUGACGCUCAUGCACGAAAGCGUGGGGAGCAAACAGG